rnacentral:miRNA from 1 species
ACUCCCAUUUUGUCUAUUUGCACUCCUCCCCUUAUUUUUAUCCUUUCAUUCUCCUUUGAUUUAUUCAAAUAAAGCAUGGAAAUAAGAGAAGGGGUGUAAAUGGAUAAAAUGGGAGA